CGGGAGGCAGCCUUGGGGAAAUAUUCCACAAUGGAGGAAAUUCCUAAUGCAGAAACGCCCGGCGUGGAGGAAGAACGCAUUUCGGGGGGAAAACCCCUUUUUUAUAGGGAAAAGAUAAUGACGGUACAAUAUGAAAUAAGCACCGGCUAACUCCGUGCCAGCAGCCCGCGGUAAUACGGAGGGUGCAAGCGUUACUCGGAAUCACUGGGCGUAAAGCGCGCGCAGGCGGCCUUUUAAGUUGGAUGUGAAAGCCUAUGGCUCAACCAUAGAACUGCAUCCAAAACUAUCAGGCUAGAGUGUGGGAGAGGAAGAUGGAAUUAGUUGUGUAGGGGUAAAAUCCGUAGAGAUAACUAGGAAUACCAAAAGCGAAGGCAAUCUUCUGGAACAUUACUGACGCUGAGGCGCGAAAGCGUGGGGAGCAAACAGGAUUAGAUACCCUGGUAGUCCACGCCCUAAACGAUGAAUGUUAGUCGUCGGGUAGCUAGUCUAUUCGGUGAUGCAGCUAAC
rnacentral:rRNA from 1 species